AAUGUGUUGUUUUACAGGGUCAGCCAUAGUAGUACGAUAGGUGCAGUGAAAUGUGUUGUUUUACAGGGUCAGCCAUAGUAGUACGAUAGGUGCAGUGAAAUGUGUUGUUUUACAGGGUCAGCCAUAGUAGUACGAUAGGUGCAGUGAAAUGUGUUGUUUUACAGGGUCAGCCAUAGUAGUACGAUAGGUGCAGUGAAAUGUGUUGUUUUACAGGGUCAGCCAUAGUAGUACGAUAGGUGCAGUGAAAUGUGUUGUUUUACAGGGUCAGCCAUAGUAGUACGAUAGGUGCAGUGAAAUGUGUUGUUUUACAGGGUCAGCCAUAGUAGUACGAUAGGUGCAGUGAAAUGUGUUGUUUUACAGGGUCAGCCAUAGUAGUACGAUAGGUGCAGUGAAAUGUGUUGUUUUACAGGGUCAGCCAUAGUAGUACGAUAGGUGCAGUGAAAUGUGUUGUUUUACAGGGUCAGCCAUAGUAGUACGAUUGGUGCAGUGAAA